ACCCUUUGCUUCCCUUCCCCACCAGAUCUCAGUACUGGUGUUGGUGGUACUAAAGAAGGAAGGGCAUAUUGUAGCUGGCCUCCCUGUGUUGGUGUCUGCUAUAGAGCUUGCAGGCCAGAUCAAACAGGC